CCCUUAGAUGUUCUGGGCCGCACGCGCGCUACACUGAUGCAUUCAACGAGUUUCUUCCUGGUCCGAGAGGAAUGGGUAACCUUUUGAAAGUGCAUCGUGAUAGGGAUAGACUAUUGCAAUUAUUGGUCUUCAACGAGGAAUUCCUAGUAGACGUAGUUCAUCAGACUGCAUCGAUUACGUCCCUGCCCUUUGUACACACCGCCCGUCGCUCCUACUGAUUGAGUGUCUCGGUGAAUUCUUUGAUCUUCUGUCGAUUCAGUUCACUGAUCCGACGGUGGAAAGUUGAAUGAACUUCGUCACUUAGAGGAAGGAGAAGUCGUAACA
rnacentral:rRNA from 1 species